CCUUAAGCCAUUGUUUAUAUUUAGUCUAUAAACCAGAACGUUUAAAAUAAUUUAGGAUAUUAGGCCUAAAUAAAAUUACAUAAACUACAAUUUAUUGUGCGAGCUAUCACUGAUAGAAGUCAAACAGUGGAAAUGAGCUAAAUUGAUUUUUUUUUUCAAACUGCAAGUGGGCAAGAGUUUCUACCAACGCGAGAACUAUUUCGCUUCUCCCCGAAACGUUUUUACGAACUUUAAGCGGCAUGUGUUUGAGACUCGCAAAACACAGCUGAAUGAAUUGCGUUUAGAGGAGGUUCGUUUGCACGCGCCAACUGCAACAUUUUAAAGAUUCACAUCUGCUCGUCUCAGCUAACCCUCAGCCCACCUGCUGGGUUGCUAGGAAACCUCCCCCUGACUGCCAGCACCUGCCCAGGUAAAGUUAAGGGCUUACCUCACCGUCCAAGAAAACAAAAAGCUUUGAAGACCGCUGGCUGUGACAUGCACUGGUGCAGAAGAAUCUGCUCAAAGAAAAUAAAAGGCUCUGAAUGAGAUGAAAAUUUGAGGAAGUGAAAAUACAGCGGUAAGAAAGGUGAAAUAGACUUAACUUGCUUAGAGGAACAAAGAAAUGAAGAUUAGCCUUGAACAGCAAAAUGUACUGGCUGAGGGGACAAAUAGUCAAAAGAGGGUUCAGUUGCUUUAAUGACUGGGUGUGCUGUGUUUAGAUGUUUUCAGACAUAUACAGUCAUGCAGGUUUGUCAGAAUGACUUGGAAAGGAAACUUUAAGCUUGUGUCCUUUUGACUCUUUUGCCCGUUUUAAACUAAUUGCACCUUCACAAGUUACUGCAUGAAGCUUUUUUCAGCCGAUCUCACAGUUAACAACAUCGUUCUGGAAUGACAAAACUUUCCAUGGGCUCAUUUGAAAUUUUCCAGAUGUCUUAACCAGUGCUUGAAGUGGGCCGGUACGCACCGGUACGCAGUACCGGCACUUCAAUAUUUUAGUCUUUAGCGUACUGGCACUUUUUUGUGCGUACCGGCACUUCUGACAUGUUCUCCAACACCGGUACUGAAUCAAAGCGUCAGUGUCUGGGUGAUUAGAAAUGACACUAUAAAGCACAUUACCCAGGAAGUCAUUUGAAACCGGUAAACAUCUGGAAAGUUCAAGGAUCCAGUAAGGGAAUGCGUUAGUAAUAAGUAAUAAGUUCAAAACAGCGCUAAUGCAGAGAAAACAGAGACAAUUUCAUCAGAGAUGGCGGAAAGAAUAGUGACUCACGUCCACAUGGCAGUAAAAUAUUCUUUUCAGCAUGUGUUUGGCUUAAAAGCAUGAGCAUUUAAUAAUGAAUGCUGACUGAAGGUGGUUCAGAUUAUGCUGGUUAGUGGUUUAGUUAUUCUGCAUGGAUCCGUAUAGUAGCAUGUACAGUCAGGUUAAGUGAGUACUGUCACUUCUUUUUUUACACUUCAGACACUGGUUUUAACACUGUUCACCGUUUUUGUUCGACAAAAGCCAAGAAUUACACAAAUAAGUGUAUGGAAAAGCUGAAAGUUUGAUUAAAAUGUCUGUGAGUAAAACAAAUGCUGCUGUGGAUCAUUUGUUACAGUUUCUAACUCUAAAUAUCAAAUCAAAAUAUGAUAGACAUUUUCUCACAACUAAAUUCAUUUUGGCAUUUUAAGUUUUUUUUUUUUUUUGUAUACAAAAGAGACAGAGAAGCGACUUUCAGAAAUAACUCUCAUGUUCUCUAGACAGUUCAUGCAUGAUGACGUCUGGCUUUUAACGUGCAUUAUUUAUGUAACACAAUCAAAGGAUGAUGGUGUUGAUUUAAACCCAGAAAAUUUUCAGAUUUAAUGCUCUUAUGCUCAUGAUGUUAUAAAUACCAAUAAUGACCUUAUAUCUUCCCAACUGACUCUUUUGGGAGUGAAAUUCACUUUGAAAUAUCUGUUAGCCUCCCAUAGACAUACCACAUUCUUACAAAAGGGAAAAGAUCAACAAGGCAUCUUUAGCACUACAGUAAUAUACACAGGACAGUCCAGGGGUCCUGCCUCAAUGUGGGGGGUCCUUACACUGGCACACUUCCUCUGACCCUCAGGGUUAUUUCCAUGGCAACCCACAUCUACAGCUCCCAUUGGGAAUGCUACUGAAUUGCAUUCAGAUGGUCUUAGGGAGACUGUGGUGCUGUAUGGGGGUUUUGGUGUAAUUUGUUUUAGUUUUUAAUGUUAUUAAUAAAUGAAUAAAAUAUUUAUUUAAUAAUUCA
ensembl:lncRNA